rnacentral:rRNA from 1 species
GUGCCAGCAGCCGCGGUAAUACAGAGGGUGCGAGCGUUAAUCGGAUUUACUGGGCGUAAAGGGCGCGUAGGUGGUAAAGCAAGUAAGAUGUGAAAGCCCUGGGCUUAACCUGGGAAGUGCAUCUUAAACUGCUUAACUAGAGUAUGGUAGAGGGUAGUGGAAUUUCCGGUGUAGCGGUGAAAUGCGUAGAGAUCGGAAGGAACGCCAGUGGUGAAGACGACUACCUGGACCAAUACUGACACUGAGGCGCGAAAGCGUGGGGAUCAAACAGGAUUAGAUACCCUGGUAGUCC